AAGAUGAGUGGCGAACGGGUGAGUAAUACAUAGGUAACCUGCCCCUGUGCGGGGGAUAACAGGAGGAAACUCCUGCUAAUACCGCAUAGCCAUGAGCACCGCAUGGAGCUCAUGCCAAAUAUCCUUUCGGGGAUAGCGCAGGGAUGGACCUAUGGCGCAUUAGCUUGUUGGCGGGGCAACGGCCCACCAAGGCAACGAUGCGUAGCCGGCCUGAGAGGGCGGACGGCCACAUUGGGACUGAGACACGGCCCAGACUCC
rnacentral:rRNA from 1 species